rnacentral:rRNA from 1 species
UACGGGGGGGGCAAGCGUUGUUCGGAAUUACUGGGCGUAAAGGGCUCGUAGGCGGCCAACUAAGUCAGACGUGAAAUCCCCAGGCUCAACCUGGGAACUGCGUCUGAUACUGGAUGGCUUGAAUCCGGGAGAGGGAUGCAGAAUUCCAGGUGUAGCGGUGAAAUGCGUAGAUAUCUGGAGGAACACCUGAGGUGAAGACGGGUUGCUGGGCCGACACUGACGCUGACAGCGCGAAAGCCAGGGGAGCAAACGGG